AUUGAACGCUGGCGGCAGGCCUAACACAUGCAAGUCGAGCGAGCGGCUGACGGGUGAGUAAUGUAUGGGGACUGCCCGAUAGAGGGGGAUAACUACUGGAACCGGUGGCUAAUACCGCAUACUGUAGGAUUAACCAUAUGGGAUUAGCUCGUAGGUAAGGGAAUGGCUUACUUAGGCUACGAUCCCUCGCUGGUCUGAGAGGAUGACCAGCCACACUGGGACUGCGACACGGCCCAGACUCAUACGGCGGCAGCAGUGGGGAAUAUUGCACAAUGGGCGCAAGCCUGAUGCAGCCAUGCCGCGUGUAUGAAGAAGUCCUUAGGGUUGUAAAGUACUUUCAGUCGGGAGGCGUGACCGACAGAAGAAGCACCGGCUAACUCCGUGCCAGCAGCCGCGGUAAUAC
rnacentral:rRNA from 1 species